UACGAAGGGUGCAAGCGUUGCUCGGAAUUAUUGGGCGUAAAGGGUAGGUAGGUGGUUACGUAUGUCUGAGGUGAAAUCCCUAAGCUUAACUUAGGACGUGCCUUGGAAACGGCGUAACUAGAGUGCUGGAGAGGUUCGUAGAAUUCCCGGUGUAGCGGUGAAAUGCGUAGAGAUCGGGAGGAAUACCAGAGGCGAAGGCGGCGAACUGGACAGUUACUGACACUCAACUACGAAAGCGUGGGGAGCAAACAGG
rnacentral:rRNA from 1 species